AGAGGGAACUGGGCUAGAGAAUCAGGAGGACAGACAGGGUGAGGGGACUUCGUUCAGGCUACCUUCAUGCUGUCAGUUAGAGAUAAAGAUAGAAGUACAAAGGGGAAUUUUUGGGCGAGGUACACGGGUGAAACGAGUUUUCAGGGCCUCAUCCUGUGUGUUCACCUUCUGUGUGUGUGUGUGUGUGCAUGCGUGCGUGUAUGUGUGUGUGCAGGUCCUGGACAGUCGCAGUUUAAGUUAGCAGCAAGAGGGCUCGAGGUUAAAGGUAUAGCAUGCAAAUAUGAGGCUGGAGCCACUGAGUAGAGGCUGAGGGCAUCUCCACAGUCCAAAGCCAGGCUGCAGACAGGGAAGCAUCUACAAAUCUGAAAGACAAAACAUGGUUCAAGCAUCCAGGCACAGGCGGUCCACCCGUGGCUCCAAAAUGGUCUCCUGGUCCGUGAUAGCAAAGAUCCAGGAAAUACUGCAGAGGAAGAUGGUGCGAGAGUUCCUGGCCGAGUUCAUGAGCACAUAUGUCAUGAUGGAGCCCACAUGAAUGCAGCUGUGACCUUUGCUAACUG
rnacentral:sRNA from 1 species